AUUGAACGCUGGCGGCAGGCCUAACACAUGCAAGUCGAGCGGAGCGGCGGACGGGUGAGUAAUGUAUGGGGAUCUGCCCCGUAGCGGGGGAUAACUACUCGAAAGACUGGAUCAUACCCCAUACUACAGGAGCGGCCGCUAUCGGAUGAGCUAGUGGGUGGGGUAAAGGCUCACCCAGGCAACGAUCCGUAGCUGGUUUGAGAGGACGAGCAGCCACACUGGGACUGAGACACGGCCCAGACUCCUACGGGAGGCAGCAGUGGGGAAUUUUGGACAAUGGGUGAAACCCUGAUGCAGCCAUCCCGCGUGUAUGAUGAAGGCCUUCGGGUUGUAAAGUACUUUUGGCAGAGAAGCGGUAUUUGCAGAAUAAGCACCGGCUAACUACGUGCCAGCAGCCGCGGUAAUAC
rnacentral:rRNA from 1 species